GGAGGUUCCCAGGCUAGGGGUUGAAUCAGAGCUACAGCUGCCAGCCUAUACCACAGCCAUAGCAACGCCAGAGCUGAGCCACGUCUGCGACCUACACCACAGUUCAUAUGGAAAUGCUGGAACCUUAAUCCACUGAUCGAGGCCAGGAAUCGAACCCCCAACCUCAUAGUUCCUAGUCCGAUUCGUUUCCACUGCACCACAACAGGAAUUCCGAUGAAUAAUAAUUUUUGAUUAUUUUUGUAAUCAAUAAAAUGUAAAGAAUAAAACUGAAAAAGAAAGUAAUCAGAUUGUACCUCUUGUCCUGCAACUAUUGCUACAUUCUGCCCCCUUUAAAUCCAUCUAGUUCCAGGUCGGUAUCACCCACCUGUGGACUAAAUAGCUCUAAAUAAAGUGUCUCUGGAAAGCUCUAGGGUAGAGGGAAUAAGACAAAUUUGUUUGUGACUUUAAAAGAUGGUGCUUACUUCCAAAUUUCAGGUUAGGAGAUGGGAGUAUUCUCAGCCCUAUGGAGUGAAAGCUGAAGUUUUGGUUCGCUGUUUAACUUCUCAGAGAACCUAAUCAGAUUAACAACUUCAGUAGGAACUAGAUGCGAUGUUUCAAUUUAGUUUAUAUUAUCAAGCUUCCCCAAGCUAAAAAUAAAAUCAAAGAAUAUUCUUUUGUUAACUGUAAAAUAAAACAAAGCUCCAUCACUUAAUUGAUCUUAUAAAAAUCAAGGUAUAGUAUAUCCAAAACUUUUAAGUAUCAGAGCAUCUGGGUUAUAAUUCGAGUUCUACAGUAAUAUGUGGGCUCAUGUUACUGCACGCCACUCCAAACAUAGUAAGUUCAAACAUAGUAAUUUCUGGAGUUCCUGUCAUGGCGCAGCGGAAACGAAUCUGACUAGGAACCAUGAGGUUGCCAGUUCUAUCCCUGGCCUCGCUCAGUGGGUUAAGGAUCCCAUGUUGCUAUGACCUGUGGUAUGGGUAGCAGAAAGGGCUUGGAUUCCGAGUUGCUGUGGCUGUGGUGUAAGCCGGCAGCUGUAGCUCUGAUUCAACCCCUAGCCUGGGAACCUCCAUGUGCUCUGUCAUCCCGUCCCUGGGGGUCUCUCAAAUCCACCCACCGCCACGCUCCACGUCAGCUCAGCACCCUCCCUCACCUGGACCACAGCCUUAUGUCUGGUCUCCUUGGUCCUCACGGUCUAUUCUGCGCACUAUAGCUGGACUGAUCUGUUAUGGUUCACUUUACAAUCACAUCUUUUCUCCGUUUUAACCCUUUGGUGCCUCCCCAGUGCUCACAAGACAAGGUAUUCUCAGCCCUAUGGAGUGAAAGCUGAAGGGUUGGUUCGCAGUUUGAGUUAAGGGUGAGGCUUGAGGCAGCUUUCCUAUUAAACGCUGCCUUGGUUAAAGCAGUGAUUCCCAAUCUUGAGAUUUACCCCCAAACUUUUUAAGGCUGAUGCAUUCUGAAAACUAUCCCAGACAACUCAAAGUGGGCAGAUGCCCACACUUUGAGGAACACUGAUGAGUGACAAGCAAUAAAGAGAGUCAGAGCUCCAAAUGCGGGAGCAGCCUGGAGUCUGGCAUUAACCAAAGGUGGCUUCCAAGUUCAGGGAAAGCUGCUGUUCUCAGAAUCUGCACCAAAGGUGACUCAUUUUCUCUCAUCCCCUCACCAAAGAGGAGGGUUCUGGUGACAAGCUCCAGCCAGGGGCUCUUUAAAAAAGCAAUGUAAAUAUUGCAUCUUCCUUUUGUUAAUAAUGCACCUAUUUAUUUAUAGAAAGUAAAUGUUUAAAAAGCAGCAGCCUCAUGAUUUUAAUUUGGAAUUUAAUCCUUUUACAGAAUUCAAGAGCAAAAUUCCACAAGGGCUGGACCAGUUCAUACAAAUACUGAGUCUCCAUCAGCUCUCCAAGCCUCUGUGCACUGCGUGUUCAAAUACAUGUUGGGUGUGGGGCGGGGGAAGGGUUGGGAAGGAGGCUCUGUUUUUUAUCCCACAGUUUCUCAUUGAGAAACUGAUUCCCUCUUUGCCUUCACACAGGACUGAAAAAAUGAUUCCAAACUGCAUACAUCUAUUUGAUGUUAAAAAAAAAAAAGGGGAGUUUCUGUUGCGGCACAGCGGAAACAAAUCCAACUAGGAACCAUGAGGUUGCGGGUUUGAUCCCUGGCCUCACUCAGUGGGUUAAGGGUCUGGUGUGGCUGUGGCUGUGGCAUAGGCUGGCAGCUGUAGCUCCAAUUGGACCCCCUGGCCUGGAAACCUCCAUAGCCACGGGCGCAGCCCUAAAAAGACAAAAAGACCAAAAAAAAAAAAAAGAAAAGAAAAAAAAGAAAAAGAACUUGAAGAGAGAACAUCUCUCUUAGGAAACUGUGCAUUCUAAUUUCUAAGUCUUAUUCCAAGGCACUUUUAUUAUUUUUGUACCAAUCAUCUCUCAUUAUUAUUAUUACUCUUUGAACAGACAGGCCUGGGAUUGACUACUAUCCCCCAAACUACUAGCUGCCUAAAUCUGGUCAAUGAACUUACCCUCCCCAAGCCUGUUCUCUGGCUUUUCUUAUUUAAAAUAAGUAUGUGGAACCUGGUAAAACAAGGUAGGUGUCAGAGUUCCCACUGUAGCAUAGUGGGUUAAGAAUCAGAUUGCAGUGGCUGGAGUCACUGCAGAGGUGCAGGUUUGAUUCCUGGCCCAGCACAGUGGGCUAAAGGAUCUGGCAUUGCCACAGAUGUGGCUUGGAUUCAACCCCUGGCCUGGGAAUUACCAUGUGCCAUAGGUGGGGCCAUAAAACAAAAUGUAUGUAAAUUCCCCUUCCUUUCCCUUCUCCCCGCUGCCCGUCACAUACCACAGCAUUGCCUCCGGGAUGCAGUUGUGCAGUUGAUGAUCAAUCUCCUUUUGGUCUAGAACUGGAAUUUAUUUCCUUGCACUCAUGCCCUUUGUACUAACGUCAGUUCGAAGAAAACAUCGUUUGGUCUCAUGUGGUCCAGCAGAGCAUCCUCUAAGAGGGCUGUUGGUUGGCUGUCAAGAGGACUUUCAGGUGGCAUUUAUCCUAUGGGAACUCAUGACGGUCCAAGGCCUCCUUUUCAGCCUUCCAGACCAAGAACCUGAUUUGUCCAAUGUGCUGAUGGAGGGUCUCUCCU
rnacentral:lncRNA from 1 species